GACGAACGCUGGCGGCGUGCCUAAUACAUGCAAGUCGAGCGAGCUUGCCUAUAGAAAUUCUUCGGAAAUGGACAUAGAUACAAGCUAGCGGCGGAUGGGUGAGUAACGCGUGGGUAACCUGCCCUUAAGUCUGGGAUACCAUUUGGAAACAGAUGCUAAUACCGGAUAAAAGCUACUUUCGCAUGAAAGAAGUUUAAAAGGCGGCGUAAGCUGUCGCUAAAGGAUGGACCUGCGAUGCAUUAGCUAGUUGGUAAGGUAACGGCUUACCAAGGCGAUGAUGCAUAGCCGAGUUGAGAGACUGAUCGGCCACAUUGGGACUGAGACACGGCCCAAACUCCUACGGGAGGCAGCAGUAGGGAAUCUUCCACAAUGGACGAAAGUCUGAUGGAGCAACGCCGCGUGAGUGAAGAAGGUUUUCGGAUCGUAAAGCUCUGUUGUUGGUGAAGAAGGAUAGAGGUAGUAACUGGCCUUUAUUUGACGGUAAUCAACCAGAAAGUCACGGCUAACUACGUGCC
rnacentral:rRNA from 1 species